GUGGAUUAGAUACCCCAGUAGUCCACGCCCUAAACGAUGUCGACUAGGUGUUCGGGGAGGAGACUCCUUGAGUACCGCAGCUAACGCGUGAAGUCGACCGCCUGGGGAGUACGGUCGCAAGAUUAAAACUCAAAGGAAUUGACGGGGACCCGCACAAGCGGUGGAUGAUGUGGAUUAAUUCGAUGCAACGCGAAAAACCUUACCUACCCUUGACAUGCCUGGAACCCUGCUGAGAGGCGGGGGUGCCUUCGGGAACCAGGACACAGGUGCUGCACGGCUGUCGCCAGCU
rnacentral:rRNA from 1 species